UAAAAAUUCAUAUAUAUAUAUAUAUAUAUAUGUAAAUGUAAGUACGUUUGUUGGAACAUCAAUUAAAAGUGAAUUUAAUGUCUUAUUAAAUGUGUGAACUGUUAACUGAUAACUGACAUUUAACUACCGGCAUUGACGCACACACAAAAGUGCAGCGCUCUUGUUACCUGAGCUGAAGCACGUACGACCAUCGUUAUUCUCGAUCUAAUCGAUGAAAUGCUUCAAGUGGAAGAUGAUAUGGACUUAUUGAGCUGAUAAAACCAAAGUUACGCUACUCUAUGUCUACUCAACAGAGCAAUGAAUAAAGAUUCUUCUUCUGCCGGCGCUCUUCCCGACAUCCAUUACAAAAAUGCUUGGCGAAGUCAACAAGCACAUUAAAAGUAUCCAGACUUUGCUGUGAAUUUUGCUGAAGAUUGUUACAAAGCGGCGGCGACUGAUGGAGGCUGGAUGGAAGCAAGUAGAAUGAUUGAAAAUUCUUAUACACUGCUUAUCAUCAUCAAUGCGAAGAUGGCAAAUUUUUCUUUCGCAUUACACAGCCAUCAUCGUCAUCAGUAUCAUCAUCAUCACCAUCAUCAUCAUCACUAUUAUCAUUGUUUUAACGUGUGUUAACCAAAAAGCAGGAUUAAAAGUAAUUGCGUUAUGUUGUAACUAUUUAAGAACAACAUCUAGAUUGCGGAACGUUCAUCAAUAAAAUAAAGCCGAAGUGAAAAAGUUACAUAUUAGGAUGGCCAGGAACGAAAUUCAUUUACAGGAAGAGAGAGAGAGGGAGAGGCCUAAUGAGAUUAAUUGAAAUGUUAAUGGAUUUGUAAUUUCUAUAAAAUACAACCAUGAGCAUCAAUUUCUGCCCAGAAUCCUGCAUGCAUACGUCAUACAACAUAAAAAUAUGGGAACAUAAAACAUGUACAUUGCAGCAGUGGUUCUUCUUGGACAAGUAGAUGGGACAACAACCUUAACGACAAUUAUGGUAAAACUUGGUAGCACUGCGGUCAUAACAUAGAGACAUCUAACAGUGCCGGGAAGAACUUCGAAAAGGAUGUUUUUCUUUUCUUUUUUUGUUUAUCUUCACGUCACACAUGGACUGGUUUCUUGUCUCACGCUA